rnacentral:rRNA from 1 species
UACGUAGACCUCGAGCGUUAUCCGGAUUUACUGGGCGUAAAGCGUGCGUAGGUGUCUUUGUAAGUCUCUGGUGAAAUCUCCGGGCUCAACCCGGAAAUGGUCAGGGAAACUGCAAGGAUCGAGUACGGCAGAGGCAGAUGGAAUGGUUGGUGUAGCGGUAAAAUGCGUUGAUAUCAACCAGAACACCAGUGGCGAAGGCGAUCUGCUGGGCCUGUACUGACACUGAGGCACGAAAGCGUGGGUAGCGAACGGG